UCGGUAGUGGUGUAGAGGUAACACGAAACCUUGCCAAGGUUUAAUCGCGAGUUCGAUUCUCGUCUACCGGACCA
rnacentral:tRNA from 1 species